CCUACGGAGUGCAGCAGUCGAGAAUCAUUCACAAUGGGGGAAACCCUGCUGGUGCGACGCCUCGUGGGGGAAUGAAGGUCUUCGGAUUGUACACCCCUGUCAUGUGGGAGCAAAUUAAAAAGAUAGUACCACAAGAGAAAGAGACGGCUAACUCUGUGCCAGCAGCCGAGGUAAUACAGAGGUCUCAAGCGUUGUUCGGAAUCACUGGUCGUAAAGCAUGCGUAGGCUGUUUCGUAAGUCGUGUGUGAAAGGCGCGGGCUCAACCCGCGGACGGCACAUGAUAGUGCUAGACUAGAGUAAUGGAGGGGGAACCGGAAUUCUCGGUGUAGCAGUGAAAUGCGUAGAUAUCGAGAGGAACACUCGUGGCGAAGGCGGGUUCCUGGACAUUAACUGACGCUGAGGCACGAAGGCCAGGGGAGCGAAAGGGAUUAGAUACCCCAGUAGUC
rnacentral:rRNA from 1 species